rnacentral:ncRNA from 1 species
AGACUGGGCUCCGGACAACGGAAACGAUGAAGCAUUGUUCGGAGC